rnacentral:rRNA from 1 species
ACGCACGCUGGCGGCCUGCCUAACACAUGCAAGUCGAACGAGACCUUCGGGUCUAGUGGCGCACGGGUGCGUCACGCGUGGGAACCUGCCCUUAGGUUCGGAAUAACUCCCCGAAAGGGGUGCUAAUACCGGAUAAUGUCUUCGGACCAAAGAUUUAUCGCCUUUGGAUGGGCCCGCGUUGGAUUAGCUAGUUGGUAGGGUAAAAGCCUACCAAGGCGACGAUCCAUAGCUGGUCUGAGAGGAUGAUCAGCCACACUGGGACUGAGACACGGCCCAGACUCCUACGGGAGGCAGCAGUGGGGAAUAUUGGACAAUGGGCGAAAGCCUGAUCCAGCAAUGCCGCGUGAGUGAUGAAGGCCUUAGGGUUGUAAAGCUCUUUUACCCGGGAUGAUAAUGACAGUACCGGGAGAAUAAGCUCCGGCUAACUCCGUG